rnacentral:rRNA from 1 species
UACGUAGGGGGCAAGCGUUGUCCGGAUUUAUUGGGCGUAAAGCGCACGUAGGCGGAUCUUUAAGUCAGGGGUGAAAUCCCGAGGCUCAACCUCGGAACUGCCUUUGAUACUGGGGAUCUCGAGUCCGGGAGAGGUGAGUGGAACUGCGAGUGUAGAGGUGAAAUUCGUAGAUAUUCGCAAGAACACCAGUGGCGAAGGCGGCUCACUGGCCCGGUACUGACGCUGAGGUGCGAAAGCGUGGGGAGCAAACAGG